UCAAAUUUCUCGUUUCCUUUUUUCGUUUUCGGCGCACUCUCCUCUCCGACUCUCCCUCUCUCGCCUGAUGCCUCUCGGUCUCUCCGUCUCCGACUUUUCCAGUUUUCCUUCUCUUCUCUUCAGUCUUCUCUAGUUCUGUCGUCUGGGAGUCUCCGACGUCUGCAGACUUUCAGGUUCUCUGACAAUCUCAUCUCCGCUUAUCGGUUUUGUUAUGCUUUCCAUGCUUCGAAGACGGCGAAAUGCUGUAAAAUAGUAUAGGAAAUGCCGGUUGUGCCAUGAUCCGAGCUAAUGCAGUUUCUAGAUUCCCAAGGUUUUCUUGAUUUUUUGGUGAGGUGUACUCACUCUGAUGAGAAUAGCAACAAUCUUCUUGACAAGUUGCAAGAUGCAUUUGGGAGAGGCUAGAACCCUUCCUCUGUUCUUCCCAUGAUUUCAUCUGAGCUUGCAACACUAACAAUAGCUUGAAAAAGAUUCAACUAAGGAUUAGAACAAACCCCCAACUUCGUUGAGUGGCUGCCUUAGAUUGUGAGAUGGUUGGAGGGGGGAGCGAUGGAACAUUGGAUCUUUAUGCAAGGAAUUUGUCUUGUUGAUGAAGUCAAAGAAGUGCUUUUUCUGGCCUAUGUCCAACAUGAGAUUGUUGUCUCAGAUUAUAGAAGUGAAAUUACUGGAAUUACAGAAGCUGAUUUUGCCAAUGCAUUGCCACUGAGUCAAGUAAGAAAUAUCAUUGGAAGUAUCUUAUAGAAUGGAGAGUCAAUAGGCACUAUCCUGUCCAUUUGAUCAUUGUUGAUUUCUAAUUUUUGCUUUUAACGUUCUCCACAAUUGUAAUUUUCAGAUUACCAUAAUGGCCUUGGGGCUUGUCAGAACUUUUUUAUUAUCCCAUCUUCAAGAUUGAUUUUCAUGUA